rnacentral:rRNA from 1 species
GACGAACGCUGGCGGCGUGCUUAACACAUGCAAGUCGAACGGACAGGCCCUGCUUUUGUUGGGUGCUCGAGUGGCGAACGGGUGAGUAACACGUGAGUAACCUACCCUUGACUUUGUGAUAACUUCAGGAAACUGGGGCUCAUACCGGAUAGGAGCUCCUGCUGCAUGGUGUGGGUUGGAAAGUUUCGGCUGUUGGGGAUGGACUCGCGGCUUAUCAGCUUGUUGGUGGGGUAGUGGCUUACCAAGGCUUUGACGGGUAGCCGGCCUGAGAGGGGGACCGGCCACAUUGGGACUGAGAUACGGACCAGACUCCUACGGGAGGCAGCAGUGGGGAAUAUUGCACAAUGGGCGGAAGCCUGAUGCAGCAACGCCGCGUGCGGGAUGACGGCCUUCGGGUUGUAAACCGCUUUCGCCUGUGACGAAGCGUGAGUGACGGUAAUGGGUAAAGAAGCACCGGCUAACUACGUG